AACCUUUUGGAAUUAUUUCUGUGUUGGUGUUGUGUACUCAGGUGAAUAUGAUAUUUGUGAUGUUACUCUGAGUGUGUAUCCACACCGGGCGAGCUUGAAAAAUAUGCCAGACCACGGUGGGAUUCGAACCUACGACCUUUGGAAUACUAGCCCAAUGCUCUUCCAACUGAGCUGCGCGGUCAGGACGGUUCGAGUAAGUGAUAUUUCGGAACAGAAUCUAGU
rnacentral:tRNA from 1 species